rnacentral:rRNA from 1 species
CUGGCUCAGGACGAACGCUGGCGGCGUGCUUAACACAUGCAAGUCGAACGAUGAAGCCCAGCUUGCUGGGUGGAUUAGUGGCGAACGGGUGAGUAACACGUGGGUGAUCUGCCCUGCACUCUGGGAUAAGCCUGGGAAAC